UUAGCAGAAACACUUAAUGCCAACAAAUUAUUCACUUCAAUUAAACCUUUGAUUAAGUACUCAUUGUUGUUCCCCUAUUUUCUGGAACGUUAUCGGUUUUCCGACUAAACAAUAGGAUCGAAGUACGUAAUAAGUUUUCUGUGACGCUCUUUCCUUCAUAAUUCCAAAAUAAUUUUCCAUCUCGGAAAACAGUUUCAGCAAAGACCACAUCAAAACAUGUUCAUUCGGAAGAUCUUCGUCUUGAUCAUACUCUUGUGUUUUGUAGCCAUGUCGCUACAAAGAAAACUCAAAGAAUUCAUGCAGAAUCCCCCGAGAAAUAUUGUGCAAGUUCGUUGCCAGGAUGGGUACAUUUAUGUAAAUCAUAUUUGUGUACCCAAAGCUUAAAAGUCUUCACAAACAAAUGCAUCCACUACAUAAAUAAGAACAAUAACUAACAAUUGUUGUUGAUGGAUCAGAUGAGUAUUGUUCUCAGUUUCCUUUUACAGUUAUAUCUGUAAAAAACAACAAUUAAUUUACAAUAUGGUUUGGAGCAUUGUUUGAUAACAACUUAAUUGUUUUAUGGUCAAUAUGAUU